rnacentral:rRNA from 1 species
UACGUAGGGGGCAAGCGUUGUCCGGAAUCAUUGGGCGUAAAGAGCGUGUAGGCGGCUCGGUAAGUCCGCUGUGAAAGUCCAGGGCUCAACCCUGGAAUGCCGGUGGAAACUGUCGAGCUAGAGUCCGGAAGAGGCGAGUGGAAUCCUGGUGUAGCGGUGAAAUGCGCAGAUAUCAGGAGGAACACCGGUGGCGAAGGCGCCACUCUGGGCCGGAACUGACGCUGAGGAGCGAAAGCGUGGGUAGCAAACAGG